CUUAUCCACUAUUCUCACACCACGUCCACUAUUCCUCUACCACAUCCACUAUUCAUCCACCUCAUCCACUAUUCUCACACCCCAUCCACUAUUCCUCUACCACAUCCACUAUUCAUCAAACAUGUCCACUAUUCUCACACCACGUCCACUAUUCAUCUACAACAUCCACUAUUCAUCCACCUCAUCCACUAUUCUCACACCGCAUCCAAUAUUCCUCUACCACAUCCACUAUUUAUCAACACGUCCACUAUUCCCACACAGUAUCCACUAUUUCUCCAACACUGUCCCUGUCUAACCCACAACGUCUGUCCCUGUCCCCCACUACAGCACCUAGC